rnacentral:rRNA from 1 species
CCUACGGGUGGCUGCAGUGGGGAAUAUUGGACAAUGGGCGAAAGCCUGAUCCAGCCAUGCCGCGUGUGUGAAGAAGGCCUUCGGGUUGUAAAGCACUUUCAGUGGGGAAGAAAGCCUUGGGGCUAAUACCCUCGAGGAAGGACAUCACCCACAGAAGAAGCACCGGCUAACUCCGUGCCAGCAGCCGCGGUAAUACGGAGGGUGCGAGCGUUAAUCGGAAUUACUGGGCGUAAAGCGCGCGUAGGCGGUCUGAUAAGCCGGUUGUGAAAGCCCCGGGCUCAACCUGGGAACGGCAUCCGGAACUGUCCGGCUAGAGUGCAGGAGAGGAAGGUAGAAUUCCCGGUGUAGCGGUGAAAUGCGUAGAGAUCGGGAGGAAUACCAGUGGCGAAGGCGGCCUUCUGGACUGACACUGACGCUGAGGUGCGAAAGCGUGGGUAGCAAACAGGAUUAGAUACCCGUGUAGUC